rnacentral:rRNA from 1 species
CUUUCCUCCCGAGUGCUUGCACUCAAUUGGAAAGAGGAGUGGCGGACGGGUGAGUAACACGUGGGUAACCUACCCAUCAGAGGGGGAUAACACUUGGAAACAGGUGCUAAUACCGCAUAACAGUUUAUGCCGCAUGGCAUAAGAGUGAAAGGCGCUUUCGGGUGUCGCUGAUGGAUGGACCCGCGGUGCAUUAGCUAGUUGGUGAGGUAACGGCUCACCAAGGCCACGAUGCAUAGCCGACCUGAGAGGGUGAUCGGCCACACUGGGACUGAGACACGGCCCAGACUCCUACGGGAGGCAGCAGUAGGGAAUCUUCGGCAAUGGACGAAAGUCUGACCGAGCAACGCCGCGUGAGUGAAGAAGGUUUUCGGAUCGUAAAACUCUGUUGUUAGAGAAGAACAAGGACGUUAGUAACUGAACGUCCCCUGACGGUAUCUAACCAGAAAGCCACGGCUAACUACGUGCCAGCAGCCGCGGUAAUACGUAGGUGGCAAGCGUUGUCCGGAUUUAUUGGGCGUAAAGCGAGCGCA